GGAGAAGUGUCUGAGUGGCCUAAAGAGCUUGAUUGCUAAUCAGGUGCAUUUACUAAUUAAAUGCCGAGGGUUCGAAUCCCUUCUUCUCCU
rnacentral:tRNA from 1 species